rnacentral:rRNA from 1 species
CGCAACCCUACGUUUAGUUGCUAACGCGUGAAGGCGAGCACUCUAGACGAACUGCCGUUGACAAACGGAGGAAGGUGGGGAUGACGUCAAAUCAUCAUGCCCCUUAUGUUCUGGGCUACACACGUGCUACAAUGGCCGGUACAGACGGACGCAAAGCCGCGAGGUGGAGCAAAUCCUAAAAAGCCGGUCUCAGUUCGGAUUGCAGGCUGCAAUUCGCCUGCAUGAAGUCGGAAUCGCUAGUAAUCGCAGGUCAGCAUACUGCGGUGAAUACGUUCCCGGGCCUU